CCUACGGGAGGCAGCAGUGGGGAAUCUUGCGCAAUGGGCGAAAGCCUGACGCAGCAACGCCGCGUGCGGGAUGACGGCCUUCGUGGUUGUAAACCGCUUUCAGCAGGGACGAAAAUGACGGUACCUGCAGAAGAAGCCCCGGCUAACUACGUGCC
rnacentral:rRNA from 1 species